rfam:Dictyostelium lacteum strain TK F4PJNLW01DERRH, whole genome shotgun sequence.
GCGUCGAUAGUGAAGCGGUCAAACACGUGGCACUCAAGUUGCUAUCCUUCGGGUUCGGGGGUUCGAAUCCCCCUUGGCGCA